UAAUUUAACAAAAAUACUGGCCUUGUAAGCCAGCAAUGAAGGAAACCUCCUUCCUAGGACA
rnacentral:tRNA from 1 species